GUCUACAGCCAUGCUACCCUGAACAGGCUGGAUCCCAUCUGAUCUUGGAAGCUAAACAGGGGGCCUGCUUAGUACUUAGUACUUAGUACUUGGAUAGGAGACCACCUAGGAAGACCAGGUGCUGUAGGUG
ensembl:rRNA 5S_rRNA 5S ribosomal RNA